GGUGCCGUAGCCAAGUGGAAAGGCAGAGGCCUGCAAAGCCUUUAAUCGGUGGUUCGAUUCCAUCCGGCACCU
rnacentral:tRNA from 1 species